rnacentral:rRNA from 1 species
ACACGACUACAUUAGAUACCCCGGUAGUCCCAGCCCUAAACGAUGCGCGUUAGGUGUAUCGGUGACCACGAGUCACCGAGGUGCCGAAGAGAAAUCGUGAAACGCACCACCUGGGAAGUACGGUCGCAAGGCUGAAACUUAAAGGAAUUGGCGGGGGAGCACCACAACAGGUGGAGCCUGCGGUUUAAUUGGAUUCAACGCCGGACAUCUCACCGGAUAAGACAGCUGAAUGAUUGUCAAUCUGAAGGUUUUACAUGACUAGCUG